rnacentral:rRNA from 1 species
GAUGAACGCUGGCGGCGUGCCUAAUACAUGCAAGUCGAGCGAAUGGAUUAAGAGCUUGCUCUUAUGAAGUUAGCGGCGGACGGGUGAGUAACACGUGGGUAACCUGCCCAUAAGACUGGGAUAACUCCGUGAAACCGGGGCUAAUACCGGAUAACAUUUUGAACCACAUGGUUCGAAAUUGAAAGGCGGUUUCGGCUGUCACUUAUGGAUGGACCCGCGUCGCAUUAGCUAGUUGGUGAGGUAACGGCUCACCAAGGCAACGAUGCUUAGCCGACCUGAGAGGGUGAUCGGACACACUGGGACUGAGACACGGCCCAGACUCCUACGGGAGGCAGCAGUAGGGAAUCUUCCGCAAUGGACGAAAGUCUGACGGAGCACGCCGCGUGAGUGAUGAAGGCUUUCGGGUCGUAAAACUCUGUUGUUAGGGAAGAACAAGUGCUAGUUGAAUAAGCUGGCACCUUGACGGUACCUAACCAGAAAGCCACGGCUAACUACGUGCCAGCCGCCGCUGUAAAAC